rnacentral:tRNA from 2 species
UGGUGUGGCUCAAUGGCAGAGCAGCUGAUUUGUAAUCAGCAGGUUGUUGGUUCGACUCCAAUCACC